AGAGUUUGAUCCUGGCUCAGAAUCAACGCUGGCGGCGUGCCUCAGACAUGCAAGUCGAACGAUUAAACUUUCCUUCGGGAGAGACAUAAAGUGGCGCACGGGUGAGUAACACGUAGGUAAUCUGCCUUUGAGUGGGGAAUAACGUUCGGAAACGAACGCUAAUACCGCAUAAUGCAGCGGCACCGCAAGGUGACAGUUGUUAAAGGAGCAAUCCGCUUAAAGAGGAGCCUGCGGCAGAUUAGCUAGUUGGUAAGGUAAUGGCUUACCAAGGCAACGAUCUGUAACCGACCUGAGAGGGUGGUCGGUCACACUGACACUGAAUAACGGGUCAGACUCCUACGGGAGGCAGCAGUCGGGAAUUUUGGGCAAUGGGCGAAAGCCUGACCCAGCAACGCCGCGUGAAGGAUGAAGUAUUUCGGUAUGUAAACUUCGAAAGAAUGGGAAGAAUCAAUGACGGUACCAUUUAUAAGGUCCGGCUAACUACGUGCCAGCAGCCGCGGUAAUACGUAGGGACCAAGCGUUGUUCGGAUUUACUGGGCGUAAAGGGCGCGUAGGCGGCGUGUUAAGUCAGCUGUGAAAUCUCCGAGCUUAACUCGGAACGGUCAGCUGAUACUGAUGUGCUAGAGUGCAGAAGGGGCAAUCGGAAUUCUUGGUGUAGCGGUGAAAUGCGUAGAUAUCAAGAGGAACACCUGAGGUGAAGACGGGUUGCUGGGCUGACACUGACGCUGAGGCGCGAAGGCUAGGGUAGCAAACGGGAUUAGAUACCCUGGUAGUCC
rnacentral:rRNA from 1 species